CCCAGACUCCUACGGGAGGCAGCAGUGGGGAAUAUUGCACAAUGGGGGAAACCCUGAUGCAGCGACGCCGCGUGAGUGAAGAAGUAUCUCGGUACGUAAAGCUCUAUCAGCAGGGAAGAAAAAAAGUCUUUGGCUUUGGACGGUACCUGACUAAGAAGCCCCGGCUAACUCCGUGCCAGCAGCCGCGGUAAUACGGAGGAUGCGAGCGUUAUCCGGAUUUAUUGGGUUUAAAGGGUGCGCAGGCGGAAGAUCAAGUCAGCGGUAAAAUUGAGAGGCUCAACCUCUGCGAGCCGUUGAAACUGGUUUUCUUGAGUGAGCGAGAAGUAUGCGGAAUGCGUGGUGUAGCGGUGAAAUGCAUAGAUAUCACGCAGAACUCCGAUUGCGAAGGCAGCAUACCGGCGCUCAACUGACGCUCAUGCACGAAAGUGUGGGUAUCGAACAGGAUUAGAUACCCGGGUAC
rnacentral:rRNA from 1 species